CUGGGACGACGGCGAGGGCAUUUCUGCGAUUUGCCUGUGCUCUACGGAGCUGCGCGUACAACUAUUUACUCUUCAAUGCUACACAUACGUCCCUGACCUGUAAGCCCACCAUCGUUGGCUACAAGUCAUCGUGGAUGACACUGGGCGGUGUGACGGUGUACGGGAUGCGCGCCGCACCCAGCAACGUCACCGUCAACGGCAAGUCCGCGACGUUCACCUACGAUGACAAACACCAGGUGCUGUACGUGAAAGACAUGGCAGAGAACAUGCUGGCUCCUAUAGUGGUCCACUGGAAGCUUCCUUAAGGCAGAAGCAGGAGGACUUGACCUUAUGACCUUGGGAUAGAGCCUCGUAGAGGUGAUGUGAUGAUUUAGAAACUGUGAAUGAUGUAAUGAUACUUGUGAUGGAUUUCCUUAUCUAUAUCGAUAGUGUUUUAUUUUCUGUGCGACGUGCAGGAACAAUCACACUUACUUUUAGCAGUUUCCACUUUAUAUGGAUUAUUAAUUAUUAUAGCUGGUUCGUGGACACGCAUCCUCUUGAUAAGUUCUUGAUGCAAUUGAUUAUCGUAAGUAUUGAAGUUUAUGUAUUUUAAUUGAAAUGACAUUUUAGCAUCAUUUAUACCAUAGUAUGGUAUAAUGUGAAAGGAAUGGAAACCUAUUCUAAACGAAGGUAUUACAAAAGUUGUUGUUAUAACGAUCAUGAACAUAUAUAUACUCUGUAUAUAUAAGUAUAUGUGCUACUAUGUAUAUAUAUAUAUGUGUGUGUGUGUUCAUGAUACAAUUUGUGAUACAUAUAUUCUCGUAUAUAGUGAAGUUAAUGUGGCAAAUAGCAGAGAAGUCGUGGGGAAGAAUUUGGUCAUGAAUCUGUGGUGCUGUGUGUAUGUAGUGUGUAGUGUGUGGUGUGUGUGUGAUGUAGUGUGUAGUGUGUGUAGUGUGUGGGUGUGUGUGUAGCGAGUGUCGGGUCAUACCUAACAUCUACUGCUACUGUUGAGAUAUUGAGUGUGAACCAGGCAUCUGCGGCUGCUGUGACCCUGCCAUAUGUCUCCCUCCAUUGCUGCUUCCAGGAAUGCUACUAGAUAGAGCAGUAAAGUACAUGCAGUUCAGGGUGGAGUGAUGUUUUAAGUAAAACUAUCUUGCCUUUUAAUUUUAAGUGAAUGUAUGUUAUUUUACAGUUAAGUAAAUUUUACCCGGAGAACAUUUUAGUUGCUAUACUGUAAGUUGUUAUUUUUGCCAUGUUUUCUCUGCUGCAAUAAUAACAUGCAUUCCUUGUGAGGGAAACCUAACGUAGCUGAGUUCCAGUGCCAGGUUGUUUAUUUAUAGGAAUUAUAAUAUUCUCAUUGAGUGCCUUUUGGAUUUUAUGGAAGUGACGUUCUUGUAAGCGGCUUAGUAUUAUGGGAUAUCUGGCACUAUUGAUUCUCUGAGAGUGUCGUAUAACAGAGAAGUGGGGCGCUAUCAUGGAUGGAGGUUUUGCACACAAGGAGCCACGAGGAAAGUAUUCAUACGUACUUUGAUGGGACGUGUUACAUUUUCUGUAUGGGAUAGGUUAUCAUUGCAAAUCUGUUAAUAAAUCAGGUUGCCUCUUCCAACCAUGA
rnacentral:lncRNA from 1 species